AAAGAAGGAUGAUGGUCUAACGCCCACGAAGCAGUUUACUGUGGAGGCGGUGGGGCAUCAUCCUUCUUUUU
rnacentral:antisense_RNA from 1 species